rnacentral:misc_RNA from 1 species
GUAAGUCUAGGAUAGACAUAAUCUUUAAUGGCCAAUGCUGCAAUAAAUGGACAGUCAUCCCUGACCCAAAAGGCGUCAAGUAGCGAUAAUCCUCGUCAGACACCCUUACAUAAUUUUGUUAAAUGUCCCUUUCUAUUACGCAAUCACGAAAAAGGAGCAAAGCCUUCCAUGACCUAAUGUCUUCCUCACCACCAUACAUUUGGAAGUGGAUGGUCAGGUCAUGCAACACCCAAACCAUUAAUUAAUCAAAAUAUAUUGGUGCUUUCUG